rnacentral:rRNA from 1 species
GGCGAGACCGCGUACGGCUCAUUAAAUCAGUCGUGGUCCAAAUGGGCCAGUGCUUAUCCUACUUGGAUAACUGUGGUAAUUCCAGAGCUAAUAUAUGCAACUCAUACCCCGAAGGCCGCGCUCUUGCAGUGUGUGCUGGACGGGUGCUUUUAUUAGACCAAACCGCUGAGGGUGUGUUAGCCUCCCGGGGCGCACGCUUCACUCGCAUGAUGGUGACUCUGGAUAACCUUUGACAAGCGCACGUACCACUCUUUUGAGCGGACGGCGCUGCCACUUUCGAGUGUCUGCCUUAUCAGCUAUCAACCGUUCGUUACGUGCGACCGAUGGCUUUGACGGGUAACGGGGAAUCAGGGUUCGAUUCCGGAGAGGCAGCCUGAGAGACGGCUACCACGUCCAAGGACGGCAGCAGGCGCGCAAAUUACCCAAUCCCAGCUUCUGGGGGAGGUAGUGACGAAAUCUAACGAUGCGGGCGCCCUUUCUAGGGCCCCGCAAUCGGAAUGAGCACUUUCUAAACAACCUGUUGAGAACCUACUGAAGGGCAAGUCUGGUGCCAGCAGCCGCGGUAAUUCCAGCUUCAGCAGCAUCUAUUAAAGUUGCUGCGGUUAAAAGGCUCGCAGUUGAAUGUCAGUGCCGGGCGCAGGUUAGGUGGACGCUGGGGUGUGAGAACCAACACGGCACGGGCUUCGUCUGGUUGCUUGUCAGCUUGCUGGCCUUCCAGGCGUCGCACCGACCGUGUCUCACAAACUCCCGUCCGUGACAAGCCUCCUCGCUCGCGCACAUAUCGGAAUUGGUUUCGGAGGCGUGCGACCGGCGGCUUCGCUCACGUCUGUGCUGGCUCACGCUGGCCUGGCUGGGAGUUGCUUAGCCACGUGCGUUCUCUUUGUGGUUUCAGAGUCACCUUGAGUAAAUCAGAGUGCUCAAAGCAGUCGUAGGGGCCUUGCGCCCUGUGAAAAGUCUUGACGGACUGACUGGUUAUGCAUGGCAUGUCGGAAGACGACGUCGCGUGCUGGCUCAGAGUUUGAUCAGUGGUAUAAGCCAGCCGCGACGUACUGAUUAAAAGGGACGGUCGAGGGCAUUGGUAUUGCGAGGCGAGAGGUGAAAUUCUGUGACCCCCGCAAGACCUCCUGAAGCGAACGCGUCUGCCAAGGA